AAUCAACGCUGGCGGCGUGCCUCAGACAUGCAAGUCGAACGAUUAAAGCCCUCUUCGGAGGGUGCAUAAAGUGGCGCACGGGUGAGUAACACGUAAGUAAUCUACCUUCGAGUGGGGAAUAACGUUCGGAAACGAACGCUAAUACCGCAUAAUGCAGCGGCAUCUAUGAUGACAGUUGUUAAAGAUUUAUCGCUUGAAGAGGAGCUUGCGGCAGAUUAGCUAGUUGGUAAGGUAACGGCUUACCAAGGCGACGAUCUGUAUCCGGUCUAAGAGGACGGUCGGACACACUGACACUGAAUAACGGGUCAGACUCCUACGAGAGGCAGCAGUCGGGAAUUUUGGGCAAUGGGCGAAAGCCUGACCCAGCAACGCCGCGUGAAGGAUGAUGUUUUUCGGAAUGUAAACUUCGUAAGAAUAGGAAGAAUAAAUGACGGUACUAUUUGUAAGGUCCGGCUAACUGCGUGCCAGCCGCCGCCGUAA
rnacentral:rRNA from 1 species